rnacentral:tRNA from 1 species
UGCAUCGGCCGGGAAUUCAAACCCGGGCCGCCCGCGUGGCAGGCGAGCAUUCUACCACUAAACCACCGAUGC